AAGGAAGCAUACUCUGGUCAUAGAUUAAGCCAUGCAAGUGUUAGUUCAGGUAACAAAACUGCGAACAGCUCAUUAACACACUCAGUACCUAUUUGACGGCGACUUUUUAGUCUUACAUGGAUAGCAGUAGUAAAUCAUGUGCUAAUACAUGCAAGCGUUACACCAGAAUUGGCCUAUGGUGGAAGAGUUGACCGAAAGGUUUGUCAUAUGGAUGAGUGGCCUAUCAGCUAGUACGUAGGGUAAUGACCUAUGUAGGCGAUAACGGGUAACGGGCGGUGAACGUCGGACUGCCGGAGAAGGUGCCUGAGAGACAGCAACUAUGCCUACGGGCAGCAGCAGGCGCGAAACUUACCUCAUCGAGAUGCUCGGAGGUGGUAAUGACCAGUUCUAAGAUGAAAUUUAUUUCAUCUUAGAUAGAAUAGUAUGCAAAUAUCGCCAUGCAAUCAAGCAGAGGGCCAGUCUGGUGCCAGCAGCUGCGGUAAUUCCAGCUCUGCAAGUUUGCUCCCAUAUUGUUGCAGUUAAAAAGCCCGUAGUCAAACCUCACUAUGACGAGGAAAUUUACCGUUACACUGCGAAUAAAUCAGGAUGCUUAGAGUAUGUCCUACAUGGAUGACUCAGCGCAGUAUGAUCUUUUUGCUUUUCGAAGCGAGAUCAAGGGGAGCCAUUGGGGAUAGCCUUAUUCCAGGUCGAGCGGUGGAAUGCAUUGACACUUGGGAGAAGAACUACAGCGAAAGCAGCUAUCUAGAGGGUUUCUAUCGAUAAAGGGCGAGAGUAGGAGUAGCGAACCGGAUUAGAGACCCGGGUAGUUCCUACUGUAAACAAUGUCGACAGGGGAUUGACUUGGCAAGUCAGCACUCUUAGAAAAAUCAUAGUUCUUGGACUCUGGGGGAACCACGAUCGCAAGACUGAAACUUGAAGGAAUUGACGGAAGGGCACACAAUGGGGUGGAGCCUGUGGCUUAAUUUGAAUCAACGCGGGGCAACUUACUAGGAUAAGAUGAGCUGAGGACUGACAGUCUAAAGGGCUUUCAGGAUAGAACUUUGGGUGGUGCAUGGCCGUUGGUGGUGCGUGAGUUGGCUUGUCUAGCGUUGAUUCAGAUAACGAGCGAGAUUACCGCCAAAUAGUAGUGAUCUUCAGUCCGCUGAAGGUUGCUUUAUUUGGGACUGCCUGGUUGGAAACAGGAGGAAGGAGGUAGCAAUAACAGGUCCGUGAUGUCCUUUAGAUGCCCUGGGCUGCACGCGUGCUACAAUGUGAUUAUCAAACGGAAAAGGCUAUGGCGAAAGAUAUCAGCAACUCCGUAAUCACUCACGUCGUUGGGAUUGAUGGUUGGAAUGAUCAUCAUGAACCAGGAAUCUCUUGUAAAUGUGCGUCAACAUCACACGUUGAAUACGUCCCUGCCCUUUGUACACACCGCCCGUCGCUCCUACCGAUGGAUGACCUGGUGAAAUUGCCGGACUUUUCGGGGAAAGGCAGUUAAAUCAUGUUAUCUAGAGGAAGGAGAAGUCGUAACAAGGUAUCG
rnacentral:rRNA from 1 species